CACAUGCAAGUCGAGCGGUAACAUUUCAAAAGCUUGCUUUUGAAGAUGACGAGCGGCGGACGGGUGAGUAAUGCCUGGGAAUAUGCCUUGAUGUGGGGGAUAACCAUUGGAAACGAUGGCUAAUACCGCAUAAUGCCUACGGGCCAAAGAGGGGGAUCUUCGGACCUCUCGCGUCAAGAUUAGCCCAGGUGGGAUUAGCUAGUUGGUGAGGUAAUGGCUCACCAAGGCGACGAUCCCUAGCUGGUCUGAGAGGAUGAUCAGCCACACUGGAACUGAGACACGGUCCAGACUCCUACGGGAGGCAGCAGUGGGGAAUAUUGCACAAUGGGCGCAAGCCUGAUGCAGCCAUGCCGCGUGUGUGAAGAAGGCCUUCGGGUUGUAAAGCACUUUCAGUCGUGAGGAAGGUAGUUGCGUUAAUAGCGUAAUUAUUUGACGUUAGCGACAGAAGAAGCACCGGCUAACUCCGUGCCAGCAGCCGCGGUAAUACGGAGGGUGCGAGCGUUAAUCGGAAUUACUGGGCGUAAAGCGCAUGCAGGUGGUUUGUUAAGUCAGAUGUGAAAGCCCGGGGCUCAACCUCGGAAUUGCAUUUGAAACUGGCAGACUAGAGUACUGUAGAGGGGGGUAGAAUUUCAGGUGUAGCGGUGAAAUGCGUAGAGAUCUGAAGGAAUACCGGUGGCGAAGGCGGCCCCCUGGACAGAUACUGACACUCAGAUGCGAAAGCGUGGGGAGCAAACAGGAUUAGAUACCCUGGUAGUCCACGCCGUAAACGAUGUCUACUUGGAGGUUGUGGCCUUGAGCCGUGGCUUUCGGAGCUAACGCGUUAAGUAGACCGCCUGGGGAGUACGGUCGCAAGAUUAAAACUCAAAUGAAUUGACGGGGGCCCGCACAAGCGGUGGAGCAUGUGGUUUAAUUCGAUGCAACGCGAAGAACCUUACCUACUCUUGACAUCCAGAGAAGCCAGCGGAGACGCAGGUGUGCCUUCGGGAACUCUGAGACAGGUGCUGCAUGGCUGUCGUCAGCUCGUGUUGUGAAAUGUUGGGUUAAGUCCCGCAACGAGCGCAACCCUUAUCCUUGUUUGCCAGCGAGUAAUGUCGGGAACUCCAGGGAGACUGCCGGUGAUAAACCGGAGGAAGGUGGGGACGACGUCAAGUCAUCAUGGCCCUUACGAGUAGGGCUACACACGUGCUACAAUGGCGCAUACAGAGGGCUGCCAACCAGCGAUGGUGAGCGAAUCCCAAAAAGUGCGUCGUAGUCCGGAUUGGAGUCUGCAACUCGACUCCAUGAAGUCGGAAUCGCUAGUAAUCGUGGAUCAGAAUGCCACGGUGAAUACGUUCCCGGGCCUUGUACACACCGCCCGUCACACCAUGGGAGUGGGCUGCAAAAGAAGUGGGUAGUUUAACCUUUCGAGGAGGACGCUCACCAC
rnacentral:rRNA from 1 species